AUGGUAACCCCAAAUGGCAUCAUGGGCCGUCAUUUUGUGACGCUAAAUAGUCGUUUGUUGUCGUUUCGUGCGCUAAGACUAAGUGCCCUGCCUCAUUAGGACGCCAAUGGCGAUGUCGCCGGCUACGUAUCCAAGCAGUUAGUAUUGAAAUGUAUGGAACCUAACUCACUUGGCGACGGUAUGGCAACGUCGCCAAAUUGGAGGCGUGGCCACGAGCUGCAGUUCCCGAUGUGGCUUCUGGCCACCGUGGCAACUUGGCGACGUGGCCACAGUAGCCACUAUAAUGUACACGGUAAAGCGCACCUCCCUCACACAGUCGCCAAUGUGGUCGCCAGUCAGCUUGCAAUUUCUUGAGCGACGACGUAAACAAUUGACUGUCGAGACGCCAUGGCCACUCGACUUGGCGACAUUUGGAUGCCAGAAGUAGCCAGACCUGUGCCGCUGGCGACGUCGCCAUGGCGUCCCAGUGAGAUAUCAGGAUUGAUUCUGUUAUUGAUAAUACCUAAUAUAAUUAUACACGUAGGCGAAGAUGAUGAUGAAGACACCACCUCCUCAAGCGAAUCGGAGUCUGAUUAAUAUUCUGUACGCACAUUCAAUUCAAUGUACUUACUUUAUUGCAUAGAAAUACAGAUUGUAACUUUGUAACAAAGAAUAAAUAAAACGAUUUUAUUAUAUGAA